rnacentral:rRNA from 1 species
AUUGAACGCUGGCGGCAGGCCUAAUACAUGCAAGUCGAGCGAGCGGCGGACGGGUGAGUAAUGUAUGGGUAUCUGCCCGAUAGCGGGGGAUAACUACUGGAAACCGUAGCUAAUACCGCAUUUUAUCGGAUGUACUCAUUUGGUAUUAGCUAGUUGGUGAGGUAAUGGCUCACCAAGGCGACGAACCCUAGCUGGUCUGAGAGGAUGACCAGCCACACUGGGACUGAGACACGGCCCAGACUCCUACGGGAGGCAGCAGUGGGGAAUAUUGCGCAAUGGGCGCAAGCCUGACAGAGCCAUGCCGCGUGAAUGAAGAAGGCCUUCGGGUUGUAAAGUUCUGUCAGUAGGGAGGCGUUACCUACAGAGAAAGCAACGGCUAACUCCGUGCCAGCAGCCGCGGUAAUAC